UCUUUCCUCUGGCCCAGCAAAGAGUUGGUGCUAGCCUGGAACCGGUUUUUCUGGCCCCAGAGCCAGUUCUUUGUCAGUGGAAACAGAAAACCCGGUUCCAAACUAAGCACUGGCACCGAACCAGCCCUGGAACUGCUUUGGUGGAAAAGGGGCAUGUGUAACCUUGUCGAGGUGUGACAGCUUGUUCCAACCUGGGUCUGGCGCAUGGGAGACCUGUAACCUUGGGGGAAGGGGCUUAUGACACCAGGGAGGUACUAAUUAACAGUUCCGCCCAAACAUCCCACCAUAGCUGGUUAGGCGCCGGGUUAGCAGCCCGACCCUGUAAAAAUCACAAAAUGCUACGGAAACAGCAAGUGAAAGUCAAAGAAGUCGGCGCAAAGAAGAAAGUGAUGGACGAAAUCCUGUAAUGACAGACCCUAAUGAAAGCCGCAAGGAAGUUAGGGCCUCGGGGAAGUGCCGGAUUCUAAGUGAAGCUUGGAAUCUGGAAUGUGCGAACUCUAUACCAAAGUGCGAAGAUGGCCCAAUUGCUAAGGAAGCCUGAGGAAGAUCCUAAAAGUGAGAUGGUUACAAAUGAGGAAAUAUUGCAGAGAGCCAGAUCACGACCUUUUGAGUGAAACUGUCGCCGAAAGAAGACUACGGCUCGUGGGCCACAUCUUACGCCUGCCAGACCACCGCCAUGCAAAAACAGCCAUAACAUGGACACCGCCAGUCAGCAAGAGAAGGAGGGGAAGGCCAAAGAUCACACAGAGAAGGACUUUCCAGGAGGACCUAAAGAGAAUGAACAUCCCCUGGGAGAAGGCUGAUGAAGCUGCGGCUGACAAAUUGAAGUGGCGGAAACUUGCUGCCCAAUGUGCCAAGAGGCACAGGAGGACCUAAGUCUAAGCACACCAUCUGUAACAAGACAAAGCUUCUCCAUGAACUGCACCAGCCUGGAAUCAGAUUUGGUUCGCAUCAUGGUUGCAGUAACCAGGUGAACUCUCUUACCUGGUCUGUGGAAGUGCUGUAUGGGGCCUCUGGAUGAGGUGCUUGUUUUGCGGAGCUGCACGGUCGAGCCCAUGGAGGAUG